UGAAAAGGUGUUGAACGGUGAC
rnacentral:siRNA from 1 species